rnacentral:rRNA from 1 species
ACACUAACUGGAGGACCGAACCGACUAAUGUUGAAAAAUUAGCGGAUGACCUGUGGCUGGGGGUGAAAGGCCAAUCAAACCGGGAGAUAGCUGGUUCUCCCCGAAAGCUAUUUAGGUAGCGCCUCGUGAAUUCAUCUCCGGGGGUAGAGCACUGUUUCGGCUAGGGGGCCAUCCCGGCUUACCAACCCGAUGCAAACUGCGAAUACCGGAGAAUGUUAUCACGGGAGACACACGGCGGGUGCUAACGUCCGUCGUGAAGAGGGAAACAACCCAGACCGCCAGCUAAGGUCCCAAAGUCAUGGUUAAGUGGGAAACGAUGUGGGAAGGCCCAGACAGCCAGGAUGUUGGCUUAGAAGCAGCCAUCAUUUAAAGAAAGCGUAAUAGCUCACUGGUCGAGUCGGCCUGCGCGGAAGAUGUAACGGGGCUAAACCAUGCACCGAAGCUGCGGCAGCGACACUGUGUGUUGUUGGGUAGGGGAGCGUUCUGUAAGCCUGUGAAGGUGUGUCGUGAGGCAUGCUGGAGGUAUCAGAAGUGCGAAUGCUGACAUAAGUAACGAUAAAGCGGGUGAAAAGCCCGCUCGCCGGAAGACCAAGGGUUCCUGUCCAACGUUAAUCGGGGCAGGGUGAGUCGACCCCUAAGGCGAGGCCGAAAGGCGUAGUCGAUGGGAAACGGGUUAAUAUUCCCGUACUUGGUGUUACUGCGAAGGGGGGACGGAGAAGGCUAUGUUGGCCGGG